UGCAUCGAAAGCAGAAAAUGUAGCUGGUUC
rnacentral:piRNA from 1 species